CGAACCCGGGUCUUCGGCGUGACGAGCCAACGCUUUAACCAUUAGGCAACCCCACCGCCCCGUGGAAACUUGGAGUAACCUGAAGCAUAAGCAGCAAAAUUAUGUCUGUACAACUCCCAUCUUCACUUGUGUCAGGAGUUCCAAUGUUUUUCCAGGUUAACAAUCCACCUGCUAUUCCACGUGUUUGUUUUGUGUGCUUCCGUUGGGAAGGAUGAUAGCGAUUUAAAACAAUCCUCGUGUAUACUUUUAGUCGGGAUGUCUGUUGAACAUGGAAGUUUUAUUUUCGCCUUCAAUCAGUAACCUAGUAUGACUUUUAGUGGAAUGCAAUUGAAUACAUAUCGAGCAGGAGCCCUGUUCAUGUUUUCUACAUUCUUACACUGCACAAACAUUCACUCCAAUAGAAAGGCACAGUUGCAGUUAAACUGUACUAAACUUACUGUUCAGUUUCAGGAGGUCUUCUUGAAGAUCAUAUCAUCACGGUGGCAUCCUACACAUCAAGGAACGGCUUCUUCAUAACAACGUCACAACCAGACAAAGAGGACCUAUGGAAUCAGAUGUAUAACAGCGAUUCGCGGGCCUUGAUCACGUUGGCUACAGAAACCCAAAUCUUCCUCCCGUCGAUGGACAGUCCUGUCUCCACGUCAAGGCUGACAGCAAGCUUGCAAACGUCUAAAAAUUAUAUCUAAUGAUGUUAUCCUGAACUCUAUUGAUCUCACAGUACAUGGUGCUGACCUCACCUCAGCAAUUCAACACUAUCAUGUGACCGGAAGUACAUUGAUGAUUCAAGUGU